rnacentral:rRNA from 1 species
AACCAACAGGGAUUGCCCCAGUAACGGCGAGUGAAGCGGCAACAGCUCAAAUUUGAAAUCUGGCUUCGGCCCGAGUUGUAAUUUGUAGAGGAUGCUUUGGGCGCGGCGCCUUCUGAGUUCCCUGGAACGGGACGCCACAGAGGGUGAGAGCCCCGUAUAGUUGGACGCCUAGCCUGUGUAAAGCUCCUUCGACGAGUCGAGUAGUUUGGGAAUGCUGCUCAAAAUGGGAGGUAAAUUUCUUCUAAAGCUAAAUACCGGCCAGAGACCGAUAGCGCACAAGUAGAGUGAUCGAAAGAUGAAAAGCACUUUGAAAAGAGGGUUAAAUAGCACGUGAAAUUGUUGAAAGGGAAGCGCUUGUGACCAGACUUGCGCCGGGCCGAUCAUCCGGGGUUCUCCCCGGUGCACUCGGCCCGGCUCGGGCCAGCAUCGGUUCUCGCGGGGGGACAAAGGCCUCGGGAAUGUAGCUCCUCCGGGAGUGUUAUAGCCCGGGGCGUAAUGCCCUCGCGGGGACCGAGGUACGCGCAUCUGCAAGGAUGCUGGCGUAAUGGUCACCAGCGACCCGUCUUGAAACACGGACCAAGGAGUCAAGGUUUUGCGCGAGUGUUUGGGUGUAAAACCCGCACGCGUAAUGAAAGUGAACGUAGGUGAGAGCUUCGGCGCAUCAUCGACCGAUCCUGAUGUAUUCGGAUGGAUUUGAGUAGGAGCGUUAAGCCUUGGACCCGAAAGAUGGUGAACUAUGCUUGGAUAGGGUGAAGCCAGAGGAAACUCUGGUGGAGGCUCGCAGCGGUUCUGACGUGCAAAUCGAUCGUCAAAUCUGAGCAUGGGGCGAAAGAC